rnacentral:rRNA from 1 species
AGCUGGAAUUGCUAGUAAUGGCAGGUCAGCAUACUGCCGUGAAUACGUUCCCGGGCCUUGUACACACCGCCCGUCACACCAUGAGAGUUGGGAAUACCCGAAGCCUGUGAGCCAACUUUAAAGAGGCAACAGUCGAAGGUAGAAUCAAUGAUUGGGGUGAAGUCGUAACAAGGUAUC